rnacentral:rRNA from 1 species
GUCGAGCGAACAGACGAGGAGCUUGCUUCUCUGACGUUAGCGGCGGACGGGUGAGUAACACGUGGAUAACCUACCUAUAAGACUGGGAUAACUUCGGGAAACCGGAGCUAAUACCGGAUAAUAUAUUGAACCGCAUGGUUCAAUAGUGAAAGACGGUUUUGCUGUCACUUAUAGAUGGAUCCGCGCCGCAUUAGCUAGUUGGUAAGGUAACGGCUUACCAAGGCAACGAUGCGUAGCCGACCUGAGAGGGUGAUCGGCCACACUGGAACUGAGACACGGUCCAGACUCCUACGGGAGGCAGCAGUAGGGAAUCUUCCGCAAUGGGCGAAAGCCUGACGGAGCAACGCCGCGUGAGUGAUGAAGGUCUUCGGAUCGUAAAACUCUGUUAUUAGGGAAGAACAAAUGUGUAAGUAACUAUGCACGUCUUGACGGUACCUAAUCAGGAAGCCACGGCUAACUACGUGCCAGCAGCCGCGGUAAUACGUAGGUGGCAAGCGUUAUCCGGAAUUAUUGGGCGUAAAGCGCGCGUAGGCGGUUUUUUAAGUCUGAUGUGAAAGCCCACGGCUCAACCGUGGAGGGUCAUUGGAAACUGGAAAACUUGAGUGCAGAAGAGGAAAGUGGAAUUCCAUGUGUAGCGGUGAAAUGCGCAGAGAUAUGGAGGAACACCAGUGGCGAAGGCGACUUUCUGGUCUGUA